GUCCACGCCCUAAACGAUGUCAACUAGUUGUUCGGUGAGGAGACUCAUUGAGUAACGCAGCUAACGCGUGAAGUUGACCGCCUGGGGAGUACGGCCGCAAGGUUAAAACUCAAAGGAAUUGACGGGGACCCCGCACAAGCGGUGGAUGAUGUGGAUUAAUUCGAUGCAACGCGAAAAACCUUACCUACCCUUGACAUGCCAGGAACUUGCCAGAGAUGGCUUGGUGCCCGAAAGGGAGCCUGGACACAGGUGCUGCAUGGCUGUCGU
rnacentral:rRNA from 1 species